GUGCUCGCUUUGGCAGCACAUGCACUAAAAUUGGAACAAUACAGAGAAGGUUAGCUAUGGCCCCUGCGCAAGAAUGACACGCAAAUUCGUGAAGUAUUCCAUUAAAAA
ensembl:snRNA U6 U6 spliceosomal RNA